CAUAGGCAUGAUGCUGACUGCUGCAUUCACCUGUCCAGUGCCCUGGCCUUUGCAUUUGAGCAGGUCUGGUCUCUGUCCUUCGAUGUCUCAGCCUUUAUCAGAGAGGAAGUUUCUCCUGUUGACUGUGAAGCCCUGCUAGGCAAGCAUUGCAUAGAGCCAGCCUCCUUGGCCUGAGAAGGGUGCUUCUGGAACCUGCAGCAUAAGGAACAGCAGCCUGACUUCCAGCCAGAAAGGGAGCACUUUGAGGGUGGUGAUUGAACUCAGCGCUUCACUACUGCUGGGCAGGCGCUCUGCCACUGGGCACUCCGCCAACUUGAUGACUAUUAUAGGGCACUACAGAACUGCUGUUUCAGAGUUCUUGUCCCUGACAUGGUCUUGUCAUUAGACCUUCUUGUUUAAGUUUGUCUUUUUCCUAUUUUGCUGCAUUCUCAAAAUAUUUACCAAGCAAACUCUUGACUGAAAUUUUAAUCGAUUUUAUAUAACAUUUCCUCCAUUCCUGAUAAAAUUUAAGCUGUUUCCAAGGUACUUAUCUUUAGCCUGUAAUUCUGGUUUGCAUAUGAAUGAUGUGUGUGUGUCUGUGUGUUUGUGUGGUGUCUGUCUGUCUGUAUCUGUGUGUCU